GUAGGUGAACCUGCGGAAGGAUCAUUACAGAGUAUCAUGCCCUCCGGGGUAGAUCUCCACCCUUGAAUAAUAUACCUUUGUUGCUUUGGCAGGACGCACUCGUGCCAGGGGCUUCAGCUCCUGAGUGCCCGCCAGAGGACCCUAAACUCUGUUUAUACAUGUCGUCUGAGUACUAUAUAAUAGUUAAAACUUUCAACAACGGAUCUCUUGGUUCUG
rnacentral:misc_RNA from 1 species